rnacentral:rRNA from 1 species
AUACCGGCUGCUCGAGUGAUGGCCACUAUUACUGGGUUUAAAGCGUCCGUAGCUUGACUGUUAGGUCUCUUGGGAAAUCUUUUGGCUUAACCAAAAGGCGUCUAAGAGAUACCGGCAUUCUUGGAACUGGGAGAGGUAAGCCGUACUUCGGGGGUAGGAGUGAAAUCUUGUAAUCCUCGAGGGACGACCUAUGGCGAAGGCAGCUUACCAGAACAGCUUCGACAGUGAGGGACGAAAGCUGGGGGAGCAAACGGGAUUAGAUACCCCGGUAGUCCCAGCCGUAAACAAUGUGCGUUAGGUGUGUCGGUUACCACGCGUAACUGAUGCGCCGAAGAGAAAUCGUGAAACGCACCACCUGGGAAGUACGGUCGCAAGGCUGAAACUCAAAUGAAUUGACGGG